rnacentral:tRNA from 1 species
GGAGACGUGGGUGAGUGGCUGAAACCAGUUCCCUGCUAAGGAACCGUGCUCUAUCCGGGCACCGAGGGUUCGAAUCCCUCCGUCUCCGCCA